AAUGAACGCUGGCGGCGUGGAUAAGACAUGCAAGUCGAACGGAGUUAGCAAUAAGUUUGCUUAAGGCAAACUCAGUGGCGAACGGGUGAGUAACACGUGAAUAAUCUGCCUUGAAGUGGGGGAUAGCCCUGGGAAACUAGGAUUAAUACCGCAUGUGGUCGAGAGACUACAGCAGCAAUGCGCUUUAAGAUGAGUUCGCGUCCUAUUAGCUAGUUGGUGAGGUAACUGCUCACCAAGGCCUUGAUAGGUAGCCGGUCUGAGAGGAUGUCCGGCCACACUGGAACUGAGACACGGUCCAGACACCUACGGGUGGCAGCAGUCGAGAAUCAUUCACAAUGGGGGCAACCCUGAUGGUGCGACGCCGCGUGGGGGAAGAAUGUCUUCGGAUUGUAAACCCCUGUCAUGUGGGAGUAAGCUAGUGAUAGUUGAUAGUACCACAAGAGGAAGAGACGGCAAACUCUGUGCCAGCCGCCGCGGUAAUAC
rnacentral:rRNA from 1 species